UUUAAUUGAAGAGUUUGAUCAUGGCUCAGAUUGAACGCUGGCGGCAGGCCUAACACAUGCAAGUCGAGCGGUAACAUUUCUAGCUUGCUAGAAGAUGACGAGCGGCGGACGGGUGAGUAAUGCUUGGGAACAUGCCUUGA
rnacentral:rRNA from 1 species